UCAGAUGUGGUGUAGUGGGAUCACGGUCUCUUAUGAUAUGUAAAUUCUGUUCUACAGAGGCAAUUCAGGGUUCGACCCCCUGUGGCUGAA